GGCCUGGUAGCCAAGUGGUAAGGCAUGGGUCUGCAAAACCCUUAUGCGCGGGUUCGAUUCCCGCCCAGGCCUCCA
rnacentral:tRNA from 5 species